rnacentral:lncRNA from 13 species
UCAAUAAUAAUAGGAGCCUCAGUAAACAUAAAAGAUAGAUUACUGGCAAAUUUCAAAGCCAUGACAGCAAUUAUCUGCAAGGAAUACAUUUUCUUGUCACAUCUGUAUUGUCACCGCAAAUGCACAUUGGGAAGAACAGAUUUGGAUGAAAACUAGGAUGCACACGAUACAAAAACUGGUAUGUAUCUCAAUACUCUACACACAAAUUUAAUUGACUACUUCUGAAAUUGUCAGAUAUGUUUCUCAUGUCUCUUUUAUAUUCAAUGCAAUUCAACGCUUUCAAAUGAUGCGAUGAGUCAUAAAUCGCUUUGCAAUACCGUGUCAAAUGUUGAUUCUUUCUCAGUCUUUUUAUUAAUGGUAACGACCACGCAUGCAGUUAAACGAGAAUAGGAGAGAGGGGGAAAACGAACUCUGGAGAAGGCGGACAAGGACAAGGUUGUUCCCCUCCUAAGAAAUUCUCAGUAAGAAGUUGGUUUUUAUGCACUUUUUAUUAGUUAUUUUUUUCCCCGAUUUCUGAAUACGUCAC